rnacentral:rRNA from 1 species
GAUGAACGCUGGCGGCGUGCCUAAUACAUGCAAGCCGAGCGAACAGACGAGGAGCUUGCUCCCCUGACGUUAGCGGCGGACGGGUGAGUAACACGUGGAUAACCUACCUAUAAGACUGGGAUAACUUCGGGAAACCGGAGCUAAUACCGGAUAAUAUAUUGAACCGCAUGGUUCAAUAGUGAAAGACGGUUUUGCUGUCACUUAUAGAUGGAUCCGCGCCGCAUUAGCUAGUUGGUAAGGUAACGGCUUACCAAGGCAACGAUGCGUAGCCGACCUGAGAGGGUGAUCGGCCACACUGGAACUGAGACACGGUCCAGACUCCUACGGGAGGCAGCAGUAGGGAAUCUUCCGCAAUGGGCGAAAGCCUGACGGAGCAACGCCGCGUGAGUGAUGAAGGUCUUCGGAUCGUAAAACUCUGUUAUUAGGGAAGAACAAAUGUGUAAGUAACUAUGCACGUCUUGACGGUACCUAAUCAGAAAGCCACGGCUAACUACGUG